rnacentral:rRNA from 1 species
GACGAACGCUGGCGGCGUGCCUAAUACAUGCAAGUAGAACGCUGAAGGAGGAGCUUGCUUCUCUGGAUGAGUUGCGAACGGGUGAGUAACGCGUAGGUAACCUGCCUGGUAGCGGGGGAUAACUAUUGGAAACGAUAGCUAAUACCGCAUAAGAGUAGAUGUUGCAUGACAUUUGCUUAAAAGGUGCAAUUGCAUCACUACCAGAUGGACCUGCGUUGUAUUAGCUAGUUGGUGAGGUAACGGCUCACCAAGGCGACGAUACAUAGCCGACCUGAGAGGGUGAUCGGCCACACUGGGACUGAGACACCGCCCAGACUCCUACGGGAGGCAGCAGUAGGGAAUCUUCGGCAAUGGACGGAAGUCUGACCGAGCAACGCCGCGUGAGUGAAGAAGGUUUUCGGAUCGUAAAGAUCGGUUGUAAGAGAAGAACGAGUGUGAGAGUGGAAAGUUCACACUGUGACGGUAUCUUACCAGAAAGGGACGGCUAACUACGUG